rnacentral:rRNA from 1 species
AGUGAACGCUGGCGGUAGGCCUAACACAUGCAAGUCGAACGGCAGCACAGUAAGAGCUUGCUCUUACGGGUGGCGAGUGGCGGACGGGUGAGGAAUACAUCGGAAUCUACUUUUUCGUGGGGGGUAACGUAGGGAAACUUACGCUAAUACCGCAUACGACCUACGGGUGAAAGCAGGGGAUCUUCGGACCUUGCGCGAUUGAAUGAGCCGAUGUCGGAUUAGCUAGUUGGCGGGGUAAAGGCCCACCAAGGCGACGAUCCGUAGCUGGUCUGAGAGGAUGAUCAGCCACACUGGAACUGAGACACGGUCCAGACUCCUACGGGAGGCAGCAGUGGGGAAUAUUGGACAAUGGGCGCAAGCCUGAUCCAGCCAUACCGCGUGGGUGAAGAAGGCCUUCGGGUUGUAAAGCCCUUUUGUUGGGAAAGAAAAGCAGCAGGUUAAUACCCCGCUGUUCUGACGUUACCCAAAGAAUAAGCACCGGCUAACUUCGUG